rnacentral:tRNA from 1 species
GAAGGUAUAGCUGAGUGGUAGAGUGCAUGCUUAGUAUGCAUUGAAAUCCUGGGUUCAACCCUCAGUACCUUCA